rnacentral:rRNA from 1 species
ACGGAGGGUGCGAGCGUUAAUCGGAAUCACUGGGCGUAAAGCGCACGUAGGCGGUGUCGUAAGUCGGAUGUGAAAGCCCUCGGCUCAACCGGGGAACUGCAUUCGAUACUGCGACGCUUGAGUGCCGGAGAGGGUGGCGGAAUUCCAGGUGUAGGGGGGAAAGGCGGAGAUAUCUGGAGGAACACCAGUGGCGAAGGCGGCCGCCUGGCGGGCAACUGAGGCUGGGGUGCGGAAGCGUGGGGAUGAAACAG